GACAGAGGCCUCAAGCGUUAGGCGGAAUCACUGGGCUUAAAGCGUGUGUAGGCGGAUGCCUAAGUACCUUGUGAAAUCCCACGGCUCAACCGUGGAACUGCUGGGUAUACUGGGCGUCUUGGGCCAUUCAGGCGACUGGAACAAGCGGUGGAGGCGGUGAAAUGCGUAGAUAUCGCUUGGAACGCCGAAGGUGAACAGGAUCGCUGGAUGAUGCCGACGCUGGAGACACGAAGCCAGGA
rnacentral:rRNA from 1 species